rnacentral:rRNA from 1 species
AGUGAACGCUGGCGGUAUGCCUAACACAUGCAAGUCGAACGGCAGCACAGUAAGAGCUUGCUCUUACGGGUGGCGAGUGGCGGACGGGUGAGGAAUACAUCGGAAUCUACUUUUUCGUGGGGGAUAACGUAGGGAAACUUACGCUAAUACCGCAUACGACCUACGGGUGAAAGCAGUGGAUCUUCGGACCUUGCGCGAUUGAAUGAGCCGAUGUCGGAUGAGCUAGUUGGCGUGGUAACGGCCCACCAAGGCAACGAUGCGAAGCUGAUCUGAGAGGAUGAUCGGCCACACGGGAACUGAGACACGGUCCAGACGCCGACGGGAGGCAGCAGUAGGGAAUCUUCCGCAAGGGGCGAAAGCCUGACGGAGCAACGCCGCGUGAGGGAUGAAGGUCUUCGGAUCGUAAAACUCUGUUAUUAGGGAAGAACAAAUGUGUAAGUAACUAUGCACGUCUUGACGGUACCGAAUCAGAAAGCCACGGCUAACUACGUG